AAAAGAAUUUUUUUUUUUUUUUUCAAAAUUCCAUUUGUCCUUUACUCUUCACAUUCUUACCCCUUUUGAACACACCAUUAGAAUCUUCAACAAGAAACCCACUGAAGAAGCCAAUAGGGCAAACCUUCCUCAAAAGAAAGAAAACAUGAAUCAUUCUUAAAAUGAGACAAUUUUGACCACAAGACAGUACUAGUUGUUUUACUAAGAAAGCUAGGAAGUAAAUAGAAAUGUAGAUCCUAUGUUGCUUUCUAUAUUCUACUGAAGCAUACUCCAGAUGACAUGACAAAUGAUCAUAACACUAGAUUUGUUAAAAUGAAACUUGUCAUAUUAGCAAAAAGAUGGUGCUUUAGCAUUGAGAGUGAUGCUUGACGAUUUGGGGACCAACCAAUUACUAAAAUAGCAAUAUAUGAAUUAUGAAAGUUCAAUUACAAGAUGGUUAUAUGUCACAGAAUUAUCUUGGAAAGAUGCUUGAAAGGUUUGUACUUUGAAAAAAAGGGAUAAAGUAACCAAGCUUAUGCUUCAAUUUAAAGAUCUAAAGAUUCAAAGCCAAGCUGUAAAGAUGCUACACACAUGCUAACUUGAUUUGAGGCAGGUCUGAAAGCUGAUUCAAUAAAGAAAUAUUUGGACAGCCCUAAUAGUGUAGAGCGUGUAGAGCAUGUAGAGGAGAUAGAACUACAAACCCUGCAACUACAAGCUUUUGUAUAUCCAGUAAAAAUUAGUACAGGGAAAAAACCAACAAAGCUGUUAUCACCUUUGACGAAAGCAGUUAAAUCUUUAAAUGAAAAGGAAAAGCAUGAAAGCAUUGAAGUAAAAAAUUCAAUGUACUAUUGCAGCAAAAUAAGUUGAUUUUAUAACAAAUCAGCCCACCAUAAAGCUCCAAACUAGAAAAAGUUUCCAAAUUCCAAUAAUGCCAAAGAUGCAUUACAAGUAAAAAUUCGACCAGCC
rnacentral:misc_RNA from 1 species